rnacentral:rRNA from 1 species
UAGCCUUGACAUUGAUUGAAUUCUGUAGAGAUACGGAAGUGCCUUUCGGGGAACAUGAAAACAGGUGCUGCACGGCUGUCGUCAGCUCGUGUCGUGAGAUGUUGGGUUAAGUCCCGCAACGAGCGCAACCCUCGUUCUUAGUUGCUAGCAGGUUAAGCUGAGCACUCUAGGAAGACUGCCUUCGUAAGGAGGAGGAAGGUGAGGACGACGUCAAGUCAUCAUGGCCCUUAUGGCUAGGGCUACACACGUGCUACAAUGGGGGGUACAAAGAGCAGCCAACUGGCGACAGUGCGCGAAUCUCAUAAAACCUCUCGUAGUCCGGAUCGGAGUCUGCAACUCGACUCCGUGAAGUCGGAAUCGCUAGUAAUCGUGAAUCAGAAUGUCACGGUGAAUACGUUCCCGGGCCU